rnacentral:rRNA from 1 species
GACGUGACUUCAGAGUUUGAUCCUGGCUCAGGAUGAACGCUGGCGGCGUGCUUAACACAUGCAAGUCGAACGAAGCACUUUGAUAAGUUUACUUAGAGAAGUGACUGAGUGGCGGACGGGUGAGUAACGCGUGGGUAACCUGCCUCACACAGGGGGAUAACAGUUAGAAAUGACUGCUAAUACCGCAUAAAAUGGCAGUUUCGCAUGAAACAACCAUCAAAGAUUUAUCGGUGUGAGAUGGACCCGCGUCUGAUUAGCUAGUUGGUAAGGUAACGGCUUACCAAGGCGACGAUCAGUAGCCGACCUGAGAGGGUGACCGGCCACAUUGGGACUGAGACACGGCCCAA